AUAUUUAACAGUUUACAUACAGUACCAGUCAAAAGUUAGGUCACCUACCCAUUCCAGGGUUUUUCUUUAUUUUUACUAUUGUCUACAUUGUAGAAUAAUAGUGAAGACAUCAACAUUUUGAAAUAACACAUAUUGAAUCAUGUAGUAACCAAAAACAAAUAAAAAUAUAUUGUAUAUUUGAGAGUCGUCAAAGUAGCCACCCUUUGCCUUGAUGACAACUUUGCACACACUUGGUAUUCUCUCAACAAGCUUCACCUGGAUUUUUUUCCCCCCAACAGUUUAGAAGGAUUUCCCACAUAUGCUGAGCACUUGUUGGCUGCUUUUCCUUCACUCUGCGGUCCAACUCAUCCCAAACCAUCUCUUUCAUUUUACCCGCUUCCCUGCCUAAAACUACACAAAAAGGUUGAAUGAUUAAAAAUGGAUGGCAGGAAGCUUGGCCCCAGUGAUGUACUGGGCUGUACGCACUACCCUCUGUAGUGCCUUAAGGUCGGAGGCCGAGCAGUUGCCAUAACAGUCAGGAUGCUCUCGAUGGUGCAGCUGUGGAACUUUUUGAGGAUCUGGGGACCCAUGCCAAAUAUUUUCAGUCUCCUGAGGGGGAAGAGGUGUUGUCAUGCCUUCGUCACAACUUUCCUGGUGUGUUUGGACCAUAAGUUUGUUGGUGAUGUUGACACCAACGAACUUGAAACUCUCGACCCACUUCACUACAGCCUUGUCGAUGUGAAUGGGGGCGUGUUCAGUCCCCCUUUUCCUGUAGUUCACAAUCAUCUUCUUUGUCUUGCUCACGUUGAUUGAGAGGUUGUUGUCCUGGUACCAUACUGCCAGGUCUCUGACCUCCUCCCUAUAGGCUGUCUCAUCAUUGUAGGUGAUCAGGCCUACCACUGUUGUGUCAUCAGCAAACUUAAUGAUGGUGUUGGAGUUGUGCUUGGCACGCAGUCGUGGGUGAACAAAGCAGGCAACCCUGAGGGGCCCGCGUGUUGAGGAUCAGCUUAGCAGAUGUGUUGUUGCCUACCCUUACCACCUGGGGGUAACCCGUCAGGAAGUCCAGCAUCCAGUUGCAGAGGGAGGUGUUCAGUCCCAGGGUCCUUAGCUUAGUGCCCACAAAGCUCAUCACUAUGGUGUUGAAUGCUGAGCUGUAGUCAGUGAACAGCGUUCUCACAUAGGUGUUCCUUUUGUCCAGGUGGGAAAGAGCAGUGUGGAGUGCGAUUGAGAUUGCAUCAUCUGUGGAUCUGUUGGGGUAGUAUGCGAGUUGGAGUGAGUCUAGGGUUUCCGGGAUGAUGGUGUUGAUGUGAGCCAUGACCAGCCUUUCAAAAAACUUCAUGGCUACCAAUGUGAGUGCUAUGGGGCGGUAUUCAUUUAGGCAGGUUAUCUUCGCUUUCUUGGCCACAGGGACUAUGGUGGUCUGCUUGAAGCAUGCAGGUAUUACAGGAGCCACCUACUGUACGGGGUAGUAAAAUUAACAUUGUACGAAUUACCAAAAAAUAAAUGAAAUAAACAUGAACCAAAUUCCCGAUACUACCCUGAAUUUCAAACAAAAACUGUACUAUUCAGAUCCCUACACAGACUCAGGAACCUGGGAGGUGUAAACUCCUAUUCAGUACUCCCUGUAACAUUUCGGCUGUAAAGUCCUGGAGAUCCAGAAAUCUAUUUGCCGCCUUCACAAUGAUGUCUACCUUAGAUUUUUUUUUAUUAGUUUGACUAGUGCAAUUUAUCACUUGGGCUAUAAAACGCAACGAAGUCCACCUUCUUCACUUAGUAUGUCGGGAUCCUUCUCCUGCAUGGCAUACUGCAGACUGUGGGCCAUCCACUACCAUCUCUCUACGCACUUCUCCACAUAGGAGACCUGCUGGAUGGCACCGAUCCUAGCUACUGCGACCUCCUUCAUCCUCAACAGGGCACUUCCGGGAACGUGAUUCCCAUCAAAAUAACAACAUGCUUCAUCUGACUCUUCAACUACUACAUAUUUUUUCAUUCGACAACCACACAGCCUCUAUAUACAACUAAACACCUGAGAUGACACCUUUAACCGGUGCCCUAUUCUGAAAAUCACAUCUUGUUGAGCCACAAAGCUUUCACCUUUUGCGCUGUUGACACAAAUGAACCUCAGCAUCAUACCGCUCCUGGUCACUCGAACCGAUUCCACUUCACCAUCUUUGAGACAGCAAACAGGUCACCCCAAAAAACAAUUUGUGAAUCGCACUGAAACCAUAAACUGCUGUGCAUUUCCAACUUUAGCCCUUUUCAAUCUCCUCUUUUUCACCAACGUCCACUCAUUCUCACCAACUGUACUUAGGCCAAGAGAAUCGCAAAAUAUUUCCGCCAUUGCUCCUCCAGUCAUCCCCUGGACUCCCUCGCCCUUUGCUGUGAAAGAUGCGAGUUUGUGUUCUCGAAGUAUCAUCCAUAUUGUUCACAUUCCAGCACAGCUGUUGCGUCACCAUCUUUUUCUCAAUUUCCCCACUUUAAUCUGCACUACUCGCCGCCAUUUCCCUUCGCCGAACAAAUUCAAAUUGAAAACACCAACAAACUCAGUUUCCGCCAUCUUCCUCACCUAUCAAAGUUGUUCAAGAUGUAUGUAACAAAGCUUUUAUCUGUGGCAGUGUAGCUAGCGCCGUCUCUGGCCCACACUCCAGCACAGUAGGUGGCGUUAAUGCACCAACGUUGGAUGCCAAUCACCCCAACGAAUGAGGAGGCUGCUAGCUAGGCUAGGGGGAACUGGUAGUGUCCUUCGCCCCCGCCUGCCAAGCACUGCUUUCCCGCAGUUCUGUUAACGUUAUGGGAAGUAGCUUGCGCAGCCAACCCUAUUCCUGCGUGACACUACCUGGUACAUGCUAGCAGGCGGGGGUGAACGACAGUGCGUGCCGGUGUAGCAGCCUCAACGGCGUCGCAGGGGGCGUGGCAUGUAGUAAGUGAAGCGUAGUGGGCACAGCAUAUAGUAAACGCAGUCUGCAGAUAGACCCUGCUCGUAUAAUUAGCUACCCUCAGACCAACGAACAUACAGAGAUGUAUGUCUGUAUGUUAUUAGCCUAAGGCCGGUCUGGGUUGAUCGAGGAUUGUGUUUUGUUCAUUUUCCAGACAGGAACUUGAGUUUUUAUUGAAACCGAGUUGAGAUGUCUUCCUCUUAAAAUACAAUAAUAAAACUGUACAAUGGUUGUUUUUGUUUAUACCUUACCUUAGUGCAAGGGAUAUUUAAUUGGUGUGUAUUUCAAUACUGUGAAGGCAUAUUAUAUUUCCUAGUGGUAACUAUACACUCAGUGGCCAGUUUAUUAUGUACACCCAUCUAUACUAAACACAAGAUGUAAAGUGUUGUUUCCAUGUUUCAUGAACUGAAAUAAAAGAUCCCAGA
rnacentral:lncRNA from 1 species